rnacentral:rRNA from 1 species
AUUGAACGCUGGAGGCAGGCCUAACACAUGCAAGUCGAACGAGUGGCGGACGGGUGAGUAAUGUCUGGGAAACUGCCUGAUGGAGGGGGAUAACUACUGGACACGGUAGCUAAUACCGCAUACCAUCAGAUGUGCCCAUAUGGGAUUAGCUUGUUGGUGGGGUAGCGGCUCACCAAGGCGACGAUCCCUAGCUGGUCUGAGAGGCUGACCAGCCACACUGUAAAUGAGACACGGUCCAGACUCCUCUGGUAGGCAGCAGGGGGGAAUAUUGCAAAAGGGGCGCAAGCCUGAUGCAGCCAUGCCGCGUGUAUGAAGAAGGCCUUCGGGUUGUAAAGUACUUUCAGCGGGGAGGCGUUACCCGCAGAAGAAGCACCGGCUAACUCCGUGCCAGCAGCCGCGGUAAUUC